UCAAGCAAUCUACUGGAGUAUAAACUUAAGAUACCUGCACUUCACCUGAGUAUUUCCUCUCUAUCUCUGUUUUCAAAUAUGAUCACCGGACAGUUUCUGGAGUUUGCUGUUCACAUACGAAGAACGCAGCAUGAGAUUGUCCAGGACACGCGUGGUCCCCGACAGGAACCUUUCCAGAACAUUGAGGUCCAUUGUUUGAGAGGCCCCGCCCAGAAUUUCCUGGUUUUUAUGGUGUUGGUGAUGUCAUCGCUGACAUCAUGGGUUGAACCAACUGACUGUUCUACUGACGCUGCCCCACAGAGCAGCAGGAAUCCGCCGUAGCCCGAAGGAGAUGACAUCAUACGGGAGAAACGCCGGCUUACACAGUACAACAGAUGUAGAUAACGUCCCAGACACACCUCACUUCCUGAGCGGAGAGUUAUGGCUUCCUGGGAGAGGCACUGCCGUCCCCUGCAGCCCCGAGGAGUUCGACAGCUACCUAUGGAGAGGGCACAUCUCUGACUCGUAGACCUGCUCGGAGGCUUCUCCCCUCACUUUGAGAUCCUCCGUGUACCUGUCAAAGGGUC